CGAGACAUGUAGGUGUCAAGCCAAGCAAAGGAAAAUUCAAGUACAAUCAAUAAGUUUCCAAAAAUUACAAUGUAAAUGUAAGAUUUGCUGAUCUCAGUUUUUGAAAAGUGAGACAAGACAUGCUGCAAUUCUAAAACCAAGCAGAGGUAAAAUUCAAGUACAAUGAAAUAGUUUUCAAAAAUCACAACGUGAGUUUUACAGAUCUCAGAUUUUGUUUAGUGAAACGAGACACGCAGGUCUCCGGUUAAGCAAGGGUAAAAUUAUUUUACAAUGGCAACCAAAAUAAAGGAUCUACUGGUAGUGUGUGCAUUUUUCAUAUGAAC